UACAGAGGGUGCAAGCGUUAAUCGGAAUUACUGGGCGUAAAGCGUGCGCAGGCGGUUUUGUAAGUUUGUCGUGAAAGCCCCGGGCUCAACCUGGGAAUUGCGAUGAAGACUGCAAGGCUUGAAUCUGGCAGAGGGGGGUAGAAUUCCACGUGUAGCGGGUGAAAUGCGUAGAUAUGUGGAGGAAUACCGAUGGCGAAGGCAGCCCCCUGGGAUAACACUGACGCCUCAUGCACGAAAGCGUGGGGAGCAAACAGG
rnacentral:rRNA from 1 species